ensembl:snoRNA
UUGCAUUCUUAAACCCUCUUGGUUGCUUCGCUCAAAGUGCUUCCAAGAUAUGAGUGAAUGCUAUAGAAAUUGCAGGGUAGUCCAAAGGGCUGCGCUUCUCUUGUGGUUCAGUCUUAUUUCCUACCUGCGACAUUU